rnacentral:rRNA from 1 species
ACGCUCGACACCUACGGGAGGCAGUGGGGAAUAUUGGGCAAUGGGCGCAAGCCUGACCCAGCAACGCCGCGUGAAGGAAGAAGGCUUUCGGGUUGUAAACUUCUUUUAUCAGGGACGAAAUAAAUGACGGUACCUGAUGAAUAAGCCACGGCUAACUACGUGUCAGCAGCCGCGGUAAUCUGAGCGGGCUGGCAAGGC